AGGAUGAACGCUGGCGGCGUGCUUAAUACAUGCAAGUCGAGCGGCAGCGCGGUCUUCGGACUGGCGGCGAGCGGCGGACGGCUGAGUAACGCGUAGGAACCUACCCCGAACUGAGGGAUAAGCACCAGAAAUGGUGUCUAAUACCGCAUGCGCUCUUUGGAGCAAAGCUUCGGCGGUUUGGGAAGGGCCUGCGUCUGAUUAGCUAGUUGGUGAGGUAAUAGCUCACCAAGGCAACGAUCGGUAGCUGGUCUGAGAGGAUGAUCAGCCAGACUGGGACUGAGAACGGCCCAGACUCCUACGGGAGGCAGCAGUAGGGAAUUUUCCACAAUGGGCGAAAGCCUGAUGGAGCAACGCCGCGUGCAGGAUGAAGGCCUUCGGGUCGUAAACUGCUUUUGUUAGUGAAGAAUAUGACGGUAACUAACGAAUAAGGAUCGGCUAACUCCGCGCCAGCGCGC
rnacentral:rRNA from 1 species